UACGAAGGGGGCUAGCGUUGCUCGGAAUCACUGGGCGUAAAGGGUGCGUAGGCGGGUCUUUAAGUCAGGGGUGAAAUCCUGGAGCUCAACUCCAGAACUGCCUUUGAUACUGAGGAUCUUGAGUCCGGGAGAGGUGAGUGGAAUUCCCAGUGUAGCGGUGAAAUGCGUAGAUAUUGGGAGGAACACCAGUGGCGAAGGCGGCUCACUGGACCGGAACUGACGCUGAGGCGCGAAAGCGUGGGGAGCAAACGGG
rnacentral:rRNA from 1 species